CCUCUCUUGAUUUCAUGCUUUUUCCAUUGAUUUUCAUUUGGUUGACUGGUUCUUUCCAAAUGUACUUUAAGUAUUCUUUAUUUUGUCUGCACGGUUUCAAUUGGAUCAUCUCGAGGUCUUGUAUCUGCAUAGGUUAUGUGGCGACCGGAGACCCAGAAGAAUUUUUAGAAAGAGAAAGAAAUAAUAUCGGAGGAAGAGAGAAAUUUAGAGAAAGAUUGAUUUAGAUUUGAAUUGUGGCGACCGAAGACCCAGAAGAACAGGCACGCAACAGUCGUCUCCAGGUAUUUCUUUCAUCGUUUUGGGCAAGUCUUGGAGGGGUUUUUGGCAGUCAGAAUAAUGACCAAGAAGAAGAUUUAGAAAUGGCUUCAAAAGCUGUUGUUCAAGAACAACCCAGAGGCAACAAUAGUUGAGUAAUACACUUAAAUCUGGAGGCGGCUAAAUUAUUGGACAUGGGGUGGAUGAUUGUUGUGAUGUGGUCGAAGCUGAAAAUCUGGCUGCUAUCGAUAUGUUGUGUUAGAGAUUCCAUUUAUUGGCUGUCUUCUUGUUACAUUAUUUUAACUAGAUUUUGUAGAUAUAGAAUUUAAAUUUCAGUAAUAUGAUAUAUAUAAAUUUGCUAAACAUUCUGUAACUUCGCUUUUCCCAUAUUGGUUUUUCCACAUUUGUUGUUAUACAUGGUGUUAACUAGAAAGAGAGUUGAAAUAGGGUGUAGUAGGGGAAGUGUGGUAAGAGUUGAGAAUGGGAGGAAAUGGCUAUUAGAGCCAGUACAACAACACUGUGAGCAACAUAAUUAGUUGCACCGUUCCAGACUUCACCAUGGCAUUGAAUAUUUGAAUUAAACUUAUUAAAGCUAAUUUCAAGUUUUGGUAAAUCAGUAAAUGGGAUUGGAAGUUUUCUGAUUUGGGUUUGUCAGUAACUUAUUAAUGUUUUGGAAAUGGGAUUCUAAUUUUGGUGAUAUGUUGAUUCAAUUGCCAUCGAUUCACACAGAAAGCUUUUACAAGUGAUUGGGACAAGGAUUUGAAAAGCUUAUGAGCAAUUUGUGAUUUUGAUUCUUGGCAACAGGCGAUGCCUUGUAAAGUCACAUUUGAGCUCCACUAUUGGGGAAAUUUGAGUACCGUACUUAGCGGUACUCUGGCGAUCAAAUCGUCGCACGCGCUUGCUCACAGUGUUGUUGUACUGGCUCUAAUAGCGAUGGUGAGGUCAAAGUCACUAGAAGGAGUUUCUACUGGGCAGCAGCGUUAGUGCCAGCCUGGGAAAGCAUUGCCGGAAUGGAGGUCUUCUUUGCAUUAGUCGUCUUCUUUGCAUUAGUCAAGUGUUAUCUCUGCAUGAUAUUAGUCACGUGUUAUCUCUGCGUUUUUGUCUUACACUUACACCCUGAGGCGUUCAUCACAUGAGAAAUCAAGAUGUUGGAUUGAGGAGGAAAAUCUGUAGACAGAUGAAAGGAUUGAUCCAGAAAAACUGUUAAUAAGCCUGAAGUGAUUGACAUUAUAUUGCCCUUAUUUAUUGGAAGUCUAGAAGAGGGUGAUGCUUUAACUCUUGUUAUUUAUUGACCUUUUUACUUAUGCAAGAAAGAAAAACAAGCCUAUAUUUCUUUUUGCUUUUAGAAUUUUGGAUCUGCAUUUUGU